GUCUGCAUGCUUUGGAAUUGAGAAAAAUGAGAAAUGUUGAAAGGGAGUCAAAUUUCUACUCUAGGACAUCACGGAAACGGUAAAUCUCUAAGGACUGUAAAAGGAUCAGUGGUUGCCAGGGAUUUGGGUUCAAGAGGAUGAGAAGUUGGAGCACCGGGGAUUUUUAGGCAUUGAACUAUUUGUUUGAUACUGUAAUGUAGAUAUGACAUAUAAUGACAUUGUAUGUGACAUUUGUCAAAACCUACAGAACAUGAACAUUGAGCGUAAGCCCUCAUGUAAAUGAUGGUCUUCACAGAGGGAGAUCGUCUCCUCCAGCCACUCCACCAGCUUCUAGAAGGUUCUGCGACUCCGCUCCCUGCCAAGACAGUGACUGUGGAAGUGACAGAGCCUGACAGGAAGAGUGCCUGGAAUGAAGCUCAGCAAGCGCAUGGGGGUGAGCUGGCCAGACAGGCGAACCCUUUCACAACAGCAGGUGUCACGGUGGCGACGCAGGGUAAACCCACUUUCACCUGGGGCCCCGUCCCGGUCCCCUCUCUCAGCGUGGCGUGCUGUGCCUGUGAGACAUCUGCAGGGGUCGCUUCUCACCUCGUCCCGGUCUCUGCUCAAGAGUCACCCCUCCGGCCUGCACCAGUGACGGGAGCCCCACACACUGUCCGGUCUCCACCCCCGUUUUCCCUCCCAGCCCGCUCGCCCUGCUGGUUUCCCGGGGCAGCCACGACAAACGACCACAAACCAGGUGGCUUGAGACACCGUGAACCCUCCCAUGGCCUGGAAGCCAGGAGCCUGAAAUCAAGGUGCAGGCAGGGCUGAGCUCCCCCUGAAGGCUCUCGGGGGAAAUCCUUUGCCACCUCUUCCAGCUCUGAGUGGCACCAGGCGGUCCUUGGCUUGUGGCUGCCUCCCUCCCAUCUCUGCUUCCGUCUUCAUGUGGCCUCUCUUCAGUGUCCCUGUCCCUCCUCGUCCAGCUCUUAUAAAGACACCCAUCACUGGAUUUAGGGCUCACCCAGUUAAUCCACGAUGAGCUCUCUGGGAGAUCCUUAUCUUAAUGAUAUCCUCAGAGACUAUUUCCCAAAUGAGGUAACAGGCGCAGUUCCUGAGGAUACAGACAGGUGCUUUUGGGGGGCCCAAUACUCAGCUCACUCCAUUCACUGCCUGACACCCCAUUACCUGUUCAUUUGUUUACAGCUUGACAGCGACCUGGAGAUAAGAUACAGGGGAGCAGAAAUAGAGUCUUUUGUGUUCAGGGGCUGAUCUCCAGUGUCACAUGACAGGUGAUUAAAAAAUAUUUG
rnacentral:lncRNA from 9 species